CAAGCCUGUGCCUCCUGCCCUGGCCCCACACCUUCCAAGCUGAGUGUGGGGGUCUGGCUGGAAGUAAGAGGAAGCUCCUCCUGGCGGUCCCAUGACAAGACGAGCCCAGCCCGGACCCAGCCCUGCUCAUCACUGAUAGCCACCAUGGCAGGAUUUGUGAGGUGUCUGUUCUCUGCUACACCCCAAGGCUAUGACAUCCAUCAUCUCAUUUAAUUCCACUUCAUCUUUAUGGGGAAUCCUUUCAAAGAGUCAUCACCCCAUGUAUCAGUGGUAGGAGCUGGGGUCCAGAAGAUGUCAGUAACUUGCUCGAGGCUGCACAAGGAAACACAAUGGAACCAAAUUAUUCUGCUGCGAAGAACCUGAGGGAGUGUCUGAAACCUGCUCACCGCGCCUGGCCACCACCCGCUGGACCACACCUCCCAGCUCUGCCGCCACCUUGUUCAACAGCCCUUUGUCAAAGAUCUGAGAAGUGAAAGAUUAACUGAAGGGGGACAUCUUUGGGGCCAGAAUAAGUUAGCCGUGGGGCUGGGUCUCUGCCAUCCCUGCUCAAGUUUCAGCUGCUAUGGCCACACAGAGCAGGCCUUGUUCACUCCUGAAAGUUCUAGCCCCAGUUUUGUUCCAGGGACGUGAAGCCUUCAGUGGGACCUUUGUGGCCAAAGACAUCUCCUGGACAAUAGGGCUACCCUCCUUCAAAAUGCUUCCUCCACCCUGGAGGGAGGGCCGAGGCUCACACACUUUUGGCUCCCCAGGACUUUGUGGACGUGGAAAGUUCCAUGAAGCCCAGGAGAUACGGAGAGCUCAGGCUUCUACUGUGCCAGGCCCCUCUUAGGCCAAGUCACAACCCAAGGGACAGCGGCUGCCAGCCCUUGCCUGCCUAAUGGUGCCAACAUCAACCAGAUCCACUGGGGAGCAAGAAGAGAGAUUGAAACUCAGCUGAGCUGUCUCACUCCGAGGCGGCCUUCUUCUGCCCAGUGCAGAUAGAGACCCCUCUUUGUCUAGAGUGCCAAGACUAUGUCAUGACCAGACAGAGGGUUCAGUGGGGAAAAGUUAUUGCACAUUUACUGAAUGCCAGGUGGUGUGGGAAGCACCUUAACAAAUUAAUAUGUAUUAAGCAUCUAUUAUGUCCCAGGCACUCUGUUAAACAAUUACUAUCCCUCAUUUCACUUUAGGUUCCCAACAAUCUUACAAAGAAGGAAGGAAUCGUACAGUCCUCAUUUUACAGGUGACAGCGCUGAGGUUCGAAGAGUUCUAGUGACUUGCCUACGGUCCCACAGUCUGUAAGUGGUGAACUGGGAUUUAAACCCACGUCUGUGCAA